rnacentral:rRNA from 1 species
GAUGAACGCUAGCUACAGGCUUAACACAUGCAAGUCGAGGGGCAGCGCAGUGUAGCAAUACAUGGGCGGCGACCGGCGCACGGGUGCGUAACGCGUAUCCAACCUUCCCGUUACUCAGGGAUAGCCUUCCGAAAGGGAGAUUAAUACCUGAUGGUGUUCAAAUUCCGCAUGUUAUUUGAACUAAAGAUUUAUCGGUAACGGAUGGGGAUGCGUGACAUUAGAUAGUAGGCGGGGUAACGGCCCACCUAGUCUACGAUGUCUAGGGGUUCUGAGAGGAAGGUCCCCCACACUGGAACUGAGACACGGUCCAGACUCCUACGGGAGGCAGCAGUGAGGAAUAUUGGUCAAUGGUCGGAAGACUGAACCAGCCAAGUAGCGUGAAGGAUGAAGGUUCAUGGAUUGUAAACUUCUUUUAUACGGGAAUAAAGCCCAUACGUGUAGUGGUUUGUAUGGUACCGUAUGAAUAAGCAAUCGGCUAACUCCGUG